UCCGUAGGCGGUGCGGCAAGUCGGAAGUGAAAUCUCACGGCUUAACUGUGAGGCUGCUUCCGAAACUGCCGUGCUCGAGUGCGGGAGAGGCGAGUGGAAUUGCAGGUGUAGCGGUGAAAUGCGUAGAUAUCUGCAGGAACACCCGUGGCGAAGGCGGCUCGCUGGACCGCAACUGACGCUGAGGGACGAAAGCUAGGGGAGCAAACAGGAUUAGAUACCCUGGUAGUCCUAGCCCUAAACCAUCAGGACUUGGCGUGUUCCGUUUACGCGGAACGUGCCGGAGCUAACGCGGUAAGUCCUGCGCCUGGGGAGUACGGUCGCAAGGCUGAA
rnacentral:rRNA from 1 species